rnacentral:rRNA from 1 species
GGUUGCGAUCAUACCAGCACUAAUGCACUGGAUCCCAUCAGAACUCCGCAGUUAAGCGUGCUUGGGCGAGAGUAGUACUGGGAUGGGUGACCCCCUGGGAAGUCCUCGUGUUGCAACCC